AGAGUUUGAUCCUGGCUCAGGAUGAACGCUGGCGGCGUGCUUAACACAUGCAAGUCGAACGAGGUCCAUGGAGCUUGCUCCGGACGACCUAGUGGCGAACGGGUGCGUAACACGUGAGGAACCUGCCCCGAUCUCUGGAAUAACAGUUGGAAACGACUGCUAAUACCGGAUGCCGUCCCACCGUCUCAUGGCGGAGCGACGAAAGAUUCAUCGGAUCGGGAGGGCCUCGCGGCCUAUCAGCUAGUUGGAGAGGUAACGGCUCACCAAGGCAUCGACGGGUAGCUGGUCUGAGAGGAUGAUCAGCCACACUGGGACUGAGACACGGCCCAGACUCCUACGGGAGGCAGCAGUGGGGAAUCUUGCACAAUGGGCGAAAGCCUGAUGCAGCAACGCCGCGUGCGGGAAGAAGGCCCUAGGGUUGUAAACCGCUUUCAGUAGGGAAGAAAAUGACGGUACCUACAGAAGAAGGUGCGGCCAACUACGUGCCAGCAGCCGCGGUGACACGUAGGCACCAAGCGUUAUCCGGAUUUAUUGGGCGUAAAGAGCU
rnacentral:rRNA from 1 species